rnacentral:rRNA from 1 species
AUUGAACGCUGGCGGCAGGCCUAACACAUGCAAGUCGAACGGUAACAGGAAGAAGCUUGCUUCUUUGCUGACGAGUGGCGGACGGGUGAGUAAUGUCUGGGAAACUGCCUGAUGGAGGGGGAUAACUACUGGAAACGGUAGCUAAUACCGCAUAACGUCGCAAGACCAAAGAGGGGGACCUUCGGGCCUCUUGCCAUCGGAUGUGCCCAGAUGGGAUUAGCUAGUAGGUGGGGUAACGGCUCACCUAGGCGACGAUCCCUAGCUGGUCUGAGAGGAUGACCAGCCACACUGGAACUGAGACACGGUCCAGACUCCUACGGGAGGCAGCAGUGGGGAAUAUUGCACAAUGGGCGCAAGCCUGAUGCAGCCAUGCCGCGUGUAUGAAGAAGGCCUUCGGGUUGUAAAGUACUUUCAGCGGGGAGGAAGGGAGUAAAGUUAAUACCUUUGCUCAUUGACGUUACCCGCAGAAGAAGCACCGGCUAACUCCGUGCCA